rnacentral:lncRNA from 1 species
CUAUAUCUAUAUCUAUAUAUCUAUAUCUAUAUAUAUAUCUCUCUCUAUAUAUAUAUCUAUCUAUAUAUGUAUAGAUAGAUAUAUAUAUAUAAAAAUAUGGGAGCAUGAUCAUUAUUUAGACUGUAGGAUAGCUAUAUCCAUGUGGUAGGUACCAUAUAAUUUAUUGUACUUAAUGUAUGUCUGCUAGAUACAUGGGAUACCUAGUUAAUUGAUACUGUUCUUAUAAUCUGACUAGGUGCUAGGAGGAGAGAGAUAAGAUCAACCAAAUGUUUGGGGCCCUCAUAGAAUCUAGCCUAUCUUCAGACUGGCUUCACCUUGAACCCAGUCUAGUUUGGGGAAAUAUUUAGGGCCUUUCAAGGCCAUUUGGUUUAUUGACUCUUACUUUCAGGUAAGAUGGAAAAAUAACUCCCUGCCUAGAUAUAGUCUGCCUCCUCAAUUUUGUCAGUCAAGUUUUCAAAAUACCUUACUACUACUUUCAAGUAGAUGUCAUUUACUUUUAUUCCGUAGUGUAUACUUAACACAUGUCUGGUAAUUGUACUUUUUUUUUCCCCUUGUUCUUUCCAAAGGUCUUUAUUUCCAAGUGUGACAUUCCAUCAUUUGGCCUUGAAUAGCUUUUAAUGGUCUUCUGAAGUUGGCUAGCCCAUUCCUAGUAAUUGCAAGAGUGAAUUGGAGAAGGGAGGUGGUUGAGUUAAUCUUUGAAGCUUUUCCUGAAGAGAUGGGCUUUUGACCUGUGAUUUCAUUCUUUCCACAAGUGUUUGAGAAUCUCCUGUGUGCAUAACCCUUUGGUGAACAUAAAAAUUAAGAUCAUAGGUCACCAAAAUGUGUUUAAUGUAUAUAUAUAUGUGUGUGAAACAACUACAAGUUUGUGGUGCAAUACUGCUUACAAGAGAACUGGAAAUGCAAAAUAAAGAAGAGACCAUUGUGGGAUUAGAACAUUUUCCUUGGUCAGGUCAGUCAGAGCUGUCAGCAUGACCCCUUCCAGCCGACUAGCAGCACUUUAUUACCAGAAGCAGUCUCCGAAUGUGACUAGCAGGGAAAGGGAUGGGAGGUGGAUACUGGACGAGGACAGACUCAAGGGAUGAGACCUCUUCAGUUUGCAUAAACAUAGGGUGUUGAAGGGACAGGAUGAGAGUCUAAUAUCAUCCUGAAGGGGCUAGGAAGGAGAAACCGAUAUCUGAAUCCUAGACACUAGAAUGAGGGCCCAACCUAGGGCUUGAGUUGGGUAAGUGGAAAACAAUUCUACAGCUUAAUUCCCAAAGAGGUGGGUCAAGUGAAAAAUGUCAGUAGGUUCAAGAAGGUUUGAUUAUCAUAAGGGCAGAUUUAUGAGGGGGUUAUUAAAGCUAGAGAUGUUGGGAGGACCUUCUAAACUUUGGAGAUUAAUGUCAGGGAAGACAAGAAGCCAUCUCUAAUUCUGUCUCUUACUAGAGACUGAAUCUUUUGUCUGCCUGUAAAGAAAGCUCGUUUAUGAACUUAGGGGGUUUUGGGGUGAAUACUAUAUUUGCUUGGUCUUCCCUGGGUAAAAGGGAGAGCAGAUUUAAUAAUUGAUUGGGGGGGAGUGGAGAGGGGGAAAGAGUAUGGAGAAAUGGGACAGGACAAGCCAGCCAUGCUAUCAGGAGUUUCCCUAUUGAGCCUGGAUUUGUGAGGGGGGAAAAAAAAAGUAGACCAAUUAACAUGUUACAAAGACCAAAGGUGAGCAAAUUGAACAAUUAGGGGCCAUAAAUAUAGCCAGUCAGUGUACUAGCAUCCUCUUAAAGAGGAUUCUCAUCCUACAGAACUUUAAAGAUUAGGUUAGAAACGUUUACAUGCUGCAUGAUCUGUGAAAUUUUCAUUUUUAUGUACUGAUAAUUAUCUUUGAGUCUGUAUUCUUUUCCCUUAUAAAUAAACGCUAGAAAACACCUUCUCGUGGUCUGGAA